CCUGGUUUGGCUCAGUGGUUAGAGCAUCAGCCUGCAGACUGAAUGGUCCCGGGUUCGAUUCCCGGUCAGGG
rnacentral:tRNA from 1 species